GCUUUCCUAGCUCAAUAGGAUAGAGCUUUGGACUUUUAAUCCAAGGGUUUGGGGUUCGAGUCCCCAGGAUAGCG
rfam:Trichomonas vaginalis G3, whole genome shotgun sequence.